rfam:Loxodonta africana unplaced genomic scaffold scaffold_5, whole genome shotgun sequence.
CCCUGGGUAGUGCAAAUGGUUAACAUUCUUGGCUGCUAACCAAAAGGUUGGAGGUUUGAAUCCACCCAGAAGGG